CAGCAGCCCGGGAAAACGUAGGGUGCAAGCGUUGUCCGGAAUUAUUGGGCGUAAAGAGCGUGUAGGCGGCUCGACAAGUCCGCUGUGAAAGUCCAGGGCUCAACCCUGGAAUGCCGGUGGAUACUGUCGAGCUAGAGUCCGGAAGGGGCGAGUGGAACUCCUGGUGUAGCGGUGAAAUGCGCAGAUAUCAGGAAGAACACCAAUGGCGAAGGCAGCUCGCUGGGACGUGACUGACGCUGAGACGCGAAAGCGUGGGGAGCGAACAGGAUUAGAUACCCCAGUAGUCCCUGUCUCUUAUACA
rnacentral:rRNA from 1 species